rnacentral:sRNA from 1 species
AUUUCCUCUCCCCUAAAGAAGCGCUCUGCUUCCUGACAAAGAUCCAGGAGAGUAGGUGGAAAAGGGGGAGUUUCAGAGCAAGCAAAGAUGAAGUUAGUUUUCAUUCUAACGGCUGAUACUUGACUGUAUUGUCUAUAGCUGAUUGAUGAAGAGGCCUUCGGAGAACUUGAUAGAAUUCUAUUCAUGCACUGAAAGAAAAAGAGCUGGGGAACGAUGCCUACAAGAAGAAAGACUUUGACACAGCCUUGAAGCAUUACGACAAAGCCAAGGAGCUGGACCCCACUAACAUGACUUACAUUACCAAUCAAGCAGCGGUAUACUUUGAAAAGGGCGACUACAAUAAGUGCCGGGAGCUUUGUGAGAAGGCCAUUGAAGUGGGGAGAGAAAACCGAGAAGACUAUCGACAGAUUGCCAAAGCAUAUGCUCGAAUUGGCAACUCCUACUUCAAAGAAGAAAAGUACAAGGAUGCCAUCCAUUUCUAUAACAAGUCUCUGGCAGAGCACCGAACCCCAGAUGUGCUCAAGAAAUGCCAGCAGGCAGAGAAAAUCCUGAAGGAGCAAGAGCGGCUGGCCUACAUAAACCCCGACCUGGCUUUGGAGGAGAAG